rnacentral:lncRNA from 1 species
AAUGACAAAGUUCACAUAGACCCGUUAAACGGAUGGAUUGGUUUAUAAAAUGAUAUUGUUAAAAUAAUUUAUUUUUAAAAAAGCUUAUUUCUUUUAUGUAUAUAUAUAUAUAUAUAUAUAUAUAUAUAUAUAUAUAUUAAAAUGGAAUUGCUAAAAUAGUUUUAUACAACACAAAUUUAAUGGACAAUUUUUAUAAUUUUUAAAAUAAUUAUUUAAAAAAUCGAAUUUUAAUUAUUUUUAUUUUUUAAAAAUAAUUUUUAAUAAUUUUUUUUUAUUUUUUAAAUAUAAUUCUCUCUCUCUCUCUCUCUCUCUCUCUCUCUCUCUCUCUCGGUUCUUCUUCUUCUUUGGUCGGUUGCCAAUGACGACAAUAGCCGGCAAUCGACCAUAGGCGAGCCUCGCCAACAACUCUCUCUCUGUUCUUCUUCUUCUUUGGUCGGCUGCCAACCACAACAAUAGCCCGCAACCAUAGGCGAGCCUUGCCAGAUGUCUCGAGCUCGCCCCUUGCCAAAUCUAGCGAGCCUUGAGCCUCGCUCAAUGUUGGCAAGCUCAAGCUCGCCUGACGCUGGCCAUUGCCGUGCCAACCACCGGAAGGAGGAAGAAGAAAGAAAAAAGAAAAGAAAAUUAAAAUUUAAAAAAUUAUAAUUUCGACUUUUAUAAAAAAAAAUAUUUUUGUAAAGUUAAAGAGGGAAGGAAGAGAUUGUGAGGUUUUGGUUGAAAAUGGAUUCUAAAUCCAACCCAUUUAAGACCCACUUAAGACUCAUCUAUCUUAAGUCUUUAAUUGUUAAACCUAUUUAACUAGUUUCUUAAAAAAAUAAGUGACCCAUUUAUGAUUUAAAUGAGUCAUAUAUGGGUCCAAGACCCAUUUUGCCACCUCUAAGUUCACGGUAUCCCAUUACACUAGUUGAGGGAAAAGAAAUGCAAAGAAGGUGUACUACAGUUUUUCCUUUUCUAAAUUAAGAACAUAUAUGCCACAUAAAAUGUUGUGCACUUAUUGAUUGAUACAAUGAACGAAAAAGUAGCUAAUACAUGACGUGGGUUGCACAAUGUACACAUGCAUCUAAGUUUAGCAUAAUCGAUGAUGCUAAUGAAUGUUGAAAUGGUUCGGUUUGUUUCCUGUGAAUCAAACACCCAAAAGAGCCUUGGACCCAAAAAAAAAAAAACUAAAAAAGAGUACUUUAGGCGGUGAGGUUUUGCACAGGAAGUAGAUAUCGAGCUCAAUGCAGAACACUCAAAAUGGUCUUUAAAAGCCGAAUUCAAUCCGAUAAGAACAACAAAUUCAUGUCACGAAAAGGAUGUGCAAAUGAGAGGCCUGUCGACAAUAUCCCUCUCCACAAACCAAAGAAGCAUAGCGAACACUGGCAACAAAAAAAAGAAAAACCGAAGAAUCGAACUGACUUGAAAAAUAAAGAAAUCAAUUAAGAAAAAGUAAAUUACAACGAGUAUGCAUUGUAUCCAUGUUAUUUCACUUGCACUUCAAGUUCUUGAUCACUUUGGCUUUAGUAUCCACGUCCAUUGUGCAAUUCAUUUCCGCAGAUUUCUUCUUCUUGAAAAUCUUGAACAGCACAACCUUUCCACUCAACUUGGCAUGUCCACUCAACGUCAAUGUCCCCGAAUUGACGUCGCUCCUAAACUGUGUAGCCGACGAGAAUUUUUUAGAGCCAACCGAGGCCGUCACGUUCAUCCUUUUUGUGGAUCUUGCUUUCGCCUUGGCCUUCAUGAUAUCGGCACUUCCGACAGUGGCACCUUGAUAGGAGAUCGUCGCGCUGGUGCUGUCAAACUUGAAGUGGCCGAAGUUGGUGUUCUUGACGGCGACCUCUGCACGGAGCUGCAUGCCGAAGGAAGGCGACGUGGACGAAGUGUUGAGCUUGAGAUUUUCAACAGUGGCGGAGCUGAGCCGGACUUUCGGGUUCCGGAUACGCAUUACCAGGAGCACGAAGAGGAGGAUGAUGGCAGUCUGUGCUAUCACGCCGGCUAUGACGUAGGCGACGAUCUUUUUCUUCCGGCGAGGGUGAAGCCGGUCGGCCAUUGCUCUUUUCUUGGUUUUUGGAGUAACAAUUCAAGGGUUUGAGAUUGCCUUUGUCGUCUUUCCUUUUUCUCUCUGCUGUGAGAGCUCUGUGAUAUUGGAGGCGAUCCGACAAUGCGGGAUGAGAAACAGAGAGAUUAAAGGGUAUGUGACGAGAUUUUAAAAGCUUCGAGGGUGUAUUUAUACGAGGGUUUGUGUAUGGGUCCGUUAAGACACUUUUAGUGGAGGGCCUACUUGUGCUUGUGUUGAUCGUGAAUAGUUGCCUUAUCCCUACCCUUUGUAAUCCUUUUAGCCCUCAAAGUUUGCAAUAAAGUAUAUUUACUUGGGAAAUCACCUUGCGGUUUACGUUGUUUUUGGGUAAAAAUUAGUAACCCUAGAUAGAUCGGGACCGUUGGAAAGCCGAGAUAUCAAGAGGGAUGACGUGGAAAAGGAAAAUGAUUUCGACAAACUCUUUGGACUAAAGUGGGUCGCACAAGUUGGAAAUAUUCCAUGUGGAAAAAGUAGGCUCCUCUAAGAGGUUUCACAUUAAUUUUCCAUUUUUUGCCUUUUUUGUCACUUUUCUUCUUUAGAGUGUGUGAAUCAGAAGAUCCAAAUGGCUCAUAACUUCCAAUCGGAGGGUAGUUCAAUUGUUGUUAUUUAUUACUAAGGAGGGAAAGAAGAAAUAAAGUCCAUGAAAAACCAGAAUAACAUAAAAUAUGCAAGGCCUGUUUAUAACGUAGCACUGCAGCUACUAGCUAAAAUAUUUGCAAUUUCUUUUUCUUAGGAAUUAGAGAUUGUUUUUUGCAUAUAUUUUGUGUACAAAGAAAGACAUUUUUAAAAAUUGUAGUUCUACACGAUAAUAUAUUAUAUUAUAUGAAAUGAAGCUUUUUGUGCCCAUAAAUCUCACAUCAUUAUCAAUCUUGACUUGUGUUAAACAUAUUUCUCUCCUAACUGAGAUUAGGGUUUUUCUCAACUUGCAAUCUUUCACAUGUUCAAUCGCGACCAUUGAAAGAGACUAACAUCCUCUAUCUUGGGUUGAUUGAUUAUGGCCUUUGAUUGUAUACUUCGUAGUCUCAAGCACUCCAACAUCAAAACCAAGAUUGACUUUGCGACUUCGACUAGUUAGAAUUUCACCAUUAUCAAGCAAUGAACUUCAUUAGGGCUGAUUAAGCUAGGGUACAAUACAGAGUUAGAUUUCAGCUCCAAGUGUUGGCCCUAGGUACAUCCGGUGAAAUAAUUUCUGCUGAUCUAGAAAAAGAUGGCCAGCGGUCCACCAACUGGAUUCGCAUCUUUUCUGUUUUCCUCUAUCUUCAAACCAAGGUAAGAAAUCUUGGAAAGAUAGCGUGGCAGAAAAAGGGAGGGUGAACGGUGAAGUAGUUUCCAAGCAAGCAUCGUUGAUUAAGCAGCAUUCAACAUGUGGGAGCGGCGAAAAGAAAAAAAAUAGUGCGAAAACUUCUUAGCAAGCAAUCAAUUGCAAGAACUUUUAAGGGAAAAAUGAUGGUGAAUUAUAGAGACAUAUACUCCAGUUUCGGCAAGGUUGGAGCAAUUUUCAAAUCAAAACUAAUAAUUUAUUCGGCUCGAAAAAUGCUUUAAAUUGAGAGAAAUAAUAGAAAGGUUAAUAAUGCUAGAAAUAUGGACCCGAAAAAUAACUUAUGAAUAAAGGUUCUGAUUAUUAGAUAAUGAUGGGGGAGCCCUAAAACUUGUGGUUGAUUCUGCAUUUUAAUCCUAAAAAUUUUGUUUUGUGCACUCAAAUCUUAAAAUUUACGUACUUUAUGCACUUUCUUUCAAUUUGCUUUUUUUUUAUGAACGGAAAAUCUCAAGUAAAACUUUUAUUAUUCCUUCGUAAGCGUGACUUUGUGUUGAAUGGAUAAAAGAGAAGGUCACCUGGACUUGCCGUCCUAAAAAGACAAUAAUAAAAAGCUAAAGUGCUAAAUCGGAACGAGUGUUAGGACUGAAUUACACGAAGGAAAAUUUUAGGACCAAAGUAUCGGACCGGCACAGAUUUUACGACUCCUGAUGUUAAAUCCAGUUCAGAACCCCAUCCCGAGGUGUGGGCCGUACCGUCUCGGAUCCAAUCAAAACCCAUCUUUUGGGAUGGAAAAUGAACGGGCCCAAGUUCGUUUCCCACAUUCAGUUCUAGGACAAGUCAACAUGCUCAACUUCACAUCAGCAGGAAAAGCAAACAACGUGUUCUUGAAUUCAAAUCAUAGACUAAACUCGACAAAUCAUAUGGUAUUGAACGGAAUCAUUCUUCUAAAAUUUAAACAUCAACCUUUGGAAAAAAAAUGAGUCAUUGCUGAGAUGAAUUUACUGGAAUAUAUGAUGAUCUUAGCAUGAGCAAAUCGAAUUAAUUUACUAUUCUUUGAUUAAUGACCAUAAAACAAUCACCAUGGCAAAUCAUGUGAAUCCAUGCAUAACCUCACAAAUGAAAUGUUAGUUCCUAUGCUGACUAGUUACUCAGCCAAAUUGAGGGGGAGAAGCAUUCAGGCUGAUGAAUCUAGGGCCAGGAGCAAACUGUUGUUUGGAAUUCCCCAGAUUUAUUGAUUAAGUACUUUUGGGUCCUAUAUUUGAUGCCCGCACAGUAAAUUCUACAACCAAUCCAGAAAUUAUUGAUCUUUCCUAUCCUUUUUACUCAAAGAAAAACUCCAAGAAAUAUUCACAGGCUCAUAUGGUGAAAUAUAUACUAGAAUUUCCAAUUAUACGGCAUUUAAUUUAGUGCUGCAAAUUUGAAUUUCUUAACUUUCAAAUUACAUUUAUUUAAGUUACUUCGAAAACUUGGAUUGUGAGAAAUGCCGAUGUCAUAUUAUUCUGAUGAUAAAGUCACUCCAAUGUGAUUAUUUUGUCGAUAAUGUCACAUUAGCUUUUUUGUCAAGAAAUUGGCUGAUGGAGCUUAAAUAGAUGGAUUUUGAAAGCUUAGGAACUUAAAUGAUCGAGUAAAGUUAUCACACAAAACUGAGCAUGGUACAAAAUAUUUGAAACUUUCAGCAUACUAUUUUGGCUUAUAUGUAAGUUUAUAGACGCAUAUAAUAAUAGCCGGAAAAUGCAUAUUAGAUUACUAAGUCAUAGAGCGCAAAGAAAAACUAUUUAUGGGAAGAGAAAAGUCAUUAAAUAAUUCAUCAAAAUGACUUGAAGGAGGCCGAUAUUAGGUCACUAAGUCAGGAGAAGUAUAAUCACAGAAUAAUGAUUAUGGCGUGCUUUAUCAUGCUUAUACAUGAGCGAGAAAAACGUCAUUUCAUCAGUGUGGGGCAUGCAGCUCGCAUCACCUAUACGAACAAUAGCAUGAGACACAUCAAGCCCCCAUUAAAAUCAAUGAUUCAAAGUGCAUUUAUUUUGUAAAAAAUAAAUAAUUUAAAAUAUCAUUUUUUAACAAUGAUUACUAAUAUCAUUUACAAAAAUGAAUGAAUAAAAUAUAUUUUCAUUGUCCAUGAAAAUGUUUCAUAAUUAAUUAUUAUCGAUAACAAAAAACAUUGUUCAUCAAAUAAUUAUUUCAAGGAAUCCAAGUUAUCAUCUUUAGAAAAAAGUGUUUUUUAAAUCAUCGAUUUUCUUUAAAAAAAGACAAAUAAGAAAAACUGUUGUGGGAAAAUUGUUUUCCUACUUUUCAGUAAGACUUUACUAGUAUAACAAUUUCUGGGUUAUUAUGAAAAUAACAAUUUAUUGUAAGUCAUAAAUUUUUGUAGGAGUGAAUCUCAAAAUAAUUUAUAAUUAUUUGUUAUUUGAUUCUUCGUGAUUAAAAACAUAUUGUUAUUUUUAUAGUAGAUUAACUACUGUUAUCCAAUUAUUUUUCUUUAUAGUAUUUGGAUAAUGGAAAACUAAUCGGAAAACGUUUUUAAUGAAUUGAAAAUAAUGAGCUUAGAUUGGGGAAAAGCGACUUCCCUAUUGGCAAGAAGAAAAAUGCAAUUUUUAAAUCAUUAUGCAAAUGAAAACUAUUUAUUUUUUUAUUAUAAAUUUUUCGUGAAAUAAAUACCACGUCGGACGCAUUGUCCAGAAUGGUUGUUCACCCAUUGGGUGAAUGCAAUCAUGUGUAUACGACCUAUACUUGUCAAUAUGACCUAUACUUAUCAAUGAACAUUGGGACCUCCCUCAAGUGAACCAAACAUAAUAUGGAGGGAUGUCAGGUCAUUUUCUGGGCUUUCGGGCUUAGGAUCAUCUCUCUUUGUUUUGGUCGAAUUCUCUUGCCAAGAAAACCUCACUGGCUUGGAAGUUUUGUCUCUGCUCGGUCGUUUUUUCCCCGUGUCCAGACGAGGAGCUUUCGCCCUUUCUUUUCAACUUGUCGACGAAUGAUGCGACAUUCACGGCUAAUGGACCGCAUCCGAGCAUGGACAAGUCACGGAUGUGCUACGAACUGAUGAUAACGUCGUCGUGAAGUGCCGCUCUCGUGAUCAGUGAGAAAGAAUAUUUCCAAUAAAAAAUUUCGUACGGUAUAACCUAUCUAUACAGCCUAUCCAAUGAAAUAUCGCCAUUUUCAAUACAUAGUACACAAUCAUGUCUCGAUCCAACAGUUCACACAUCACCAUCAUUUCAUUUGAUAUGAACAUACAAAUAGAGUAUAAACUAGCGGCUCACAAUAAUAUAACUUACAUAUGAAGAGCCCCGCUUCACUUAUUAACUUAAAUGAUUGAAUUGAACCUUUUUGUAUGGUGUCACGGCACAGUUCGAAAGUUCAAACCCUAGCAUUCUCAAUUUCUCGUGGUGGAUUCACAACCUGUUCCCGGAAUAAGAGCUUUUAAUAUUUGAAAUGGGCUGUCACAUGAUUCUUCCUCACUGAGUUGGCUCGAGGCCACGCCUCUGUCCUCUUGCUGGUUUACCCAUCCCGUCUCUGGGAUCACAUUACUCUUCGGAUAUUUCUCUCUAAGUCCCUGCUGCUGGGCAUCCUCAACUAAUCUUUGGGCCCGCUGAAUCUCAAGCCUUAUAUUUUAUGUGACUAAUUAAUCCCAAUUCGUACGUUUGUGCUGAAGCUUCCCGUCAAGAAGAAAAUUGCUGAAUUUUGGUGCAGAAAUGAUUCGUUUUUUCUUGUCACGGACCUCAAUCAGGACAUUGCUCAAAUAAUUGGACGGCAUCAUAUUACACCCUUUUUUGCAGGCCAUCAAAUGCAUUAAAUAUUCUCUACUCUCCUUGUGACACCAUAUGAGAUCUCGUACAAAUGAUGUAGUCUUAAGACCUGCAAGUUUGUCAUCUUAUAAGCUUCUUCCGAUGAACUCUUAAAAAUGCAUGCACGGAGUCAAUCCAAGUUUUUCGACGCUGAAUUAUCUUGUUCAUAGGCAUACACUGCAACAGAUACGUUCAGUCGAGGAACCAUGGUAAAUAUUAUGUAUAUAAACGAUGGAAUUAAUAAAAAAUUAGAAAAUAAAAAAAGUAAAUGAGACACUAAAUUUGUGUGAUUUUGUCAAUGCGACCUACUCUACAUGGACACUAGGACAAUAUUCCAUUAUAGGUUAAGUGAUUCUUACGGUUACACAAAUACUGUUAAUGUUAUAUCACUUUUUACAUGGUCAAAUCACAUGCAUCCGGAUUUUUUUCACUUUCAUAUGAUUGGAUUUCGUUCGACGGGUUAAACUCAAGACAUUAUUCUAGCAACGGAACUAUUAGAAUUUAGAAGUCUAUAAUAAUGACAUGUCACGUCUGAAAUGCAGCGUGACCACAAAUCUCGUAAUUUUUUGUUAUAAGAUCAUAUGUCAAUUUGAGUUUACGAAAUUGAGAGGACACAGGGUGUUCUAGUUCUGUUGGGGGAACAUGACGAUUGUAAUUGGCCAUAGUCCCAAUUAUAGAUAUUUAGUCCUUUAGAGUUAUAUCUGGCGUGGAUACCUUCGAACCUUUUCAAUGCCAAUCUCUUUCAUAUCCCCACCAGCAUUAUACUCCCAAAACACGACACAUGGAAAUUAUUGUCCACAAAUCCUCCCCUUUUAUCUCUCUCCUUCUCAUGUGCCCGCCCCUCCCUCCAUCUCCACCAACUCUUCUCCAUGGAAGACCAUUCACCUCCACCCUCAACUUCACCACCAGCACCGCCACCGGCUCCUCCGCCUCCAUCCACCACACCACCGCCAUCACAACCUGCUCUCUACGAGCUAACAGCUUCUUCCAUUUCAUACAGAAAGUCUAACACUUUCAUCACAAACACCCUCCAUCAUUUCCUAGCCUUCAAACCAUGCACAAAACCAUCCCCUCCCACCUACAUCCUCCGCGACAUCUCCCUCGUCGCCUACCCAUCCCAAAUCCUUGCGGUGGUCGGCCCAAGCGGGGCGGGGAAGUCCACCCUCCUCGACAUUUUGGCGGCUCGAGUGACGCCCACCCGCGGCACCCUCCUCCUCAACUCAACUCCCAUCAACCCAUCCACAUUCCGCAAACUCUCGGCCUACGUCCCCCAGCACGACGUAUGCCUCCCGCUACUCACCGUCUCCGAGACAUUCAUCUUUGCCGCCCGGCUGCUCAUCCCUGACAAAUCACAGCUCCUAACAGUCGUGUCCACUCUCCUGACAGAGCUAGGGCUGAGCCACCUGGCUGAGACCCGGCUCGGGAAUGCCCUAUCGGGAGGUGAGCGGCGGCGUGUCUCGAUCGGGCUCAGCCUCCUCCACGAUCCGGCGGUGCUCCUCCUUGAUGAGCCGACUUCCGGGCUGGAUAGCACUUCGGCCUUCAAUGUCAUGCAGAUCCUCAAGAAGAUCGCCGUCUCGCGUCACCGGACCGUGAUCUUGUCAAUCCACCAGCCGAACUUCAAGAUUCUCUCCACUAUUGACAGAAUUCUGUUGCUCUCAAAAGGGUCGGUGGUCCACCAUGGAACGCUUUGCGAGCUCCAAAGCUUCUUGCUCUCCAUUGGCUUCACUGUGCCACCUCAGCUUAAUGCCCUUGAAUACGCCAUGGAAAUACUGAACCGGCUCCAAGAGAACAACAAAACCCUGACGCUCGCACAGUUUCCGCAGUCACUUCCUCCAUCACUGGUUCAUUGCUCCGAGACUAGUACUCCUUCCGAUCAUCAUCACAAAAUACCAAAGAUUAGAUACAAGAGCUCGAGGCUCGACGAAAUUUUGAUACUCUACAACAGGUCGUGGAAGAUCAUCUACAGGACGAGACAGCUCCUCCUGACCAACACCAUCGAAGCCCUCCUCGUAGGGCUCGUCCUCGGCACCAUCUACAUCAACAUAGGGUUCAACAAGGAAGGUAUCGAAAAGAGGUUUGGCCUCUUCGCCUUCACUCUCACUUUCCUCCUUUCCUCCACGACCGAAGCCUUACCCGUCUUCAUCAACGAAAGGCCCAUCCUCUUGCAAGAAACCUCGAGCGGAGUCUAUCGACUCUCAUCCUACUUGAUAGCGAACACGUUCGUUUUCUUGCCCUACUUGCUUGCCGUGGCUAUUAUAUACUCGGCCUCGAUGUACUUUCUUGUUGGCCUAUGCGCCUCAUGGCAAGCCUUCGCCUACUUUGUCCUGGUGAUCUGGAUCAUUAACCUGAUGGCGAACUCUUUCGUCUUGUUCUUGAGCUCCAUUGCGCCAAACUACAUUGCCGGGACGUCUUUAGUGACGGCAUUCCUCGGGGCCUUCUUCCUCUUCUCAGGCUACUUCAUUUCGAAGCAGAGCAUACCCAAGUACUGGCUGUUCAUGUACUUCUUCUCCAUGUACAAGUACGCACUCGACGCGCUCCUCAUCAACGAGUACUCGUGCCUCGUGUCAAGAUGCUUGAUCUGGUACGAGGAGAACAAGACAUGCAUGGUGACCGGGAGGGACGUGUUGCAGAAGCGAGGGCUUCACGAGGGCGAGAGGUGGACGAACAUUUACAUUCUGAUCGGGUUCUUCAUGUUCUAUCGCGUGCUUUGGUUGCUGGUUCUGAUGCGAAGGGUUUCGAGAUCAAAGAAGUGAAAUUUGCGACUCUACUUUACUCAUCAUCAUCAUCAUCUAUAGUCUUCAAGAAAAAAAUAAGACACUGCCCUUCUUCUUUUCUGUUUCUUAUUCGCUCUCUCCGAUUUUACACUGCUAUCAGAUCUUCAUAUGCUCCUCUAAUUGCUUCCGUUGCUUUAUAACUUGUGUCAAUUCCCGUUAUCGGGGAUAAGUUUCUCACUGAAGCUUUUAAGCAUCAAUCUUACAAAAAACGCUUUGCAUGGACCAGAUUUAUGGAACAAACAUAAAUCACCAUGGCUAGAUCAAAGAAUCCAGUAGACAUGGAAAAGCGAGCAACUUUUAAAAUUCAAAGACAAAGUUAGGUCGAUUUUGCAUGUUGUAAUUUGGUUUAUUACGUCGUGUCUGUUGUGCAAUUACUGAAAUUUUACGUGGAACCAUCAAUAUCAAUACUCGAGAUUCUCCUGGCUCACGAUGGAUUGGGUCCAUGCGAGGACAAACCUCAAGAAAUGUCGAGGCUCGAAGAGUAUCGUAAUCAUAUUGAAAAUCUUCUCACCACAUAAAUCUGCAUGUUGACCCCACAAGCAAAUUUGCACCUCGUGGACAUGAAAGUGGUGGAUCCCAAUUAGGUAUUAAUUUUGUCCAGCAAUUAUUCCUUUCCUGUGCAAGCCAAGAGCAACUCUGUCAAGACGAUCGUGUGGGUCUCGUCCUUUUCCUCUCUCUCUCUCUCUUUAAACUGAAAUGAUAAGUUCCUAUUGGUCAGGUGUUAAUUAGAAAUGACCCCACAACUUAUUUAUUUUUCCAUGAUUAUAAGAAUUUAAAGAAUUUGAGGUCACGGGUUCACUAUCGAUCCACGAAGAGCUAAAGCUAUAGCGAAAAAGCCAAGAAGAUGUGCAGUCGUCUUCCACAUUCAUGAUGUUUUUGUCCGAAGGUGAGAUUUCCGUCUUUUCUUGAUUUGUUGUCUUCCCUGAAAUCGAUGCGCGUUCACGGGUCUCUCUCGCGAUGUCGCUCGUGAACUGGUCGUUGGACUGUCUCCAGCGGGUGUCCACUCAGCUCGUACACGCAUCAUCUCUUUAACUGCAACCCCAAUCGCCAUGCGAAUUUAAGGACUAGCGCAUGGAUUGAAGGAAUCAAAAGGUAAAAGCUUAGAUCAUAGGCUUGAAAGUCCUAAUCGAAGCAUAAGCUAGCAACGUCACGUUGUUAUAAAUGUAAACCGAGUCCACAACAGCAAGGGACAACAAUUGAAACAAGGGUCUUUACAAAUGACUCCAUGCUCAAAACGUCCCAUCUGUGGCCACAUAUAACAAAAUGUUUUCACAAACAAAUGAUGUAUGAUAGUGUCAUUUUUGUAUAUAUACCAAUCAAGACAAAAGGUUUAUAUGUCUUCUUUACUGUGAAAUUUUCAAAAAAAUCAUAAACCUAUUGUAUUUGUGCUAAUUCAAUUCAAUUUUUUUUUUUGAAAAUUUGCCAAUUAAGUUUUUUUGACUAAUUUUGGUAGGAAAUCGUUAAUAUGGACGCCGGUUGUCCUAUGUGAUACAUCCGGUGUUGAUGUGCAUAAAUUUCGUAUUUUUUUUUAAAUUGAAAAUUUUAAUAUAGUUUAAUUUUUGAAUUUUCUUUUUUUACUUUGCUUUUUUUUUUUUCAUUGUGUUGAUUAGGGUCACCGGCAACCCUUACCCAUUGUGGAGGCCUUGCCUAAACUGUGUGUGAAGGCCCUUGCCAGAUUUGGGCAUUGGCCUCGCCCUUGCUGAGGGCCUUCAAGACCUCAUUGUUUGUAGGAGUGAGCCUCGCCCAUGGCCCGGUGGCCUACGAGGGUCACCGACCCUUUCUAACCCAAAGAAAAAAAAUUCAAUAGAACAUUGCAUCAUUUUAUAAGUUAUUGGACAAAUUUUCUUUGUAAUAUAUUGUCAUGAUGAUAAGAUAUCCAUUAACUCUUAACAAAAUAAGAGAUAGAUAAUAAAUGGUUACAGAAAAGAAAAGAGAGAAUGUCGUAAAGAAGGAAAGUGAAAUAUAUAGAAUUGGGAGAUCUCAUUAUUCAUAAAUAGAGAGGAGAAAAUGGAUAAAAGAAAAACAAAUAUUUGACACUAAAAAAUAAUAUAAACAGAAGGCUUCCUCGUUUUUUCCGCACCAAGCAGAUGGCAGUUGAAACUUUUGACAAAAUGAGGAAAGCUAUUGAAAAAGGGAAUUUAUGCUAUCGUGUUAGCUUUAUGCUUUCGAGAGUGAGGGGGAUUUACCUUCUUAUCUUCGAUCUCACUUUAUUGAUUCACGUGCUCAAAAUAUUGCAAUUGAUUACCUUAUAAUUCAAUAGAUAUUGUAGUUUUAUGUCUUUUAUUUUCUUUUAAUAAGGAAUAAACCUACAUAAUGGUGAGAAAUCGAUUGAUUCGAACAUUUAUUCUGCUAUAGAUUCUUACAUAUUAUAAUUCUUCUGUUGCAAAAGUUCACGUUGCCGCUGAUGUUUAGAAAUAUAUGAUAAAUAACGUUAAUUUUCAUUUGCAAAACAAAUUUUACUUCAGGUCAUCAAAAUCCAUUCGAACAACAGAACCAACAAAAACCCUUAUAAAUCUUGGUCGACUUCUUGGGCCAAAGUCAAACCGCCCCCAAUUCUCCGAACUUGGGCCGACCAAAGUCUUGUUACAGGCCCAAAGUUGCUCGGGCCUAUCACCACCCUCAUCAAUUUAAUCCCUCAGCAUGCUCAGAUUGUUUACAAAAAUUCGAUUCUGAACUUACGUGACAGGCUGGAGUUGACUAUUGAACAUAUUCUUGUUGACUGAAAAGGUCACUGUAACUUGCCACUUGUUAGCAUAUCUAGCAUUAACCAUCUUCAUGAGUGAUGCAAGUGAUGACAUUGUUGUGAUUUGUUUAAUUGCUUGGACGUGGCAAACUAUAAGUUUAUGUUAUCCUAUGGCCUACUUGCUUAAUUCUCAAUUUGCAUUUUCUUCAAGAGUUUGUAAAUCACUUCUGAUAUGAAUGUGAGUAUGUGCAGCAGCAUUACUCUAUCCUCAUUUUCCAUGCAUAAGUACAGCAACUGCAAAACCUUGGCUCUUAUUACUGCGUACAAGCAAGAAAAGAAAGGUCCUGUGCAGUGAAAUUUUCACCUCAAACAUGCGAAAAUAUCCCUAAAGGGAUUCUUAAUGAGAAUAUUAUAUAAGGAUAUAUCAAGCUAGUUUAUAAUAUAGGUUGCACACACUACAAAUGAGUGUGUAGACGAAUGAGUCAAAUUCAGGAACCCAACAAGAGAAUUGCCACGUUAUUUUUGCUUUGUAGUUAAGUUUUUUGUAUAUAUAGCUAGUAUUAAUAGGGCUGUCGAAAUGAAUCACAAAUCUAAGAAAUCUUUGCUUGAGCUUUUUGUACUAGAGUCAAAACAAGGACUUCAGAAUUGCUUGUUCUUUCCUUAAUUGCACGCGAGAAUUCUUCCUUAUAAAAACAAAACGGCGUGCAAGAUUUUUCGUCAGCCUAAUCAAGAAUGGGUGAAGUGAGUGUUUGUGCGUUUUCUCUGUGCAGACAUGUGUAGAACUUCAUAGCAUCGCACGGUAAGGGACAUUUGAUCUUUUGAGCUAUCUAUGUUAAUUUUUUUACUCUCUUCCUUGCCAUUUUUAACGUAAAACCCAAAAGCAAAUUAAAUAGUCGGUGAAUAAUAGGCCGUUAUUUGGUUUGAUGACCGGGGACGGUUGCCAAAGUAUUUUCCUUUAUCAUUUUAGACAUCAGAUCUUUGCCCCCAUUAAUAAAGUUGACAAUUUUAGAAGAAAAGAAUGUGUAAGCACCUGAAUUUUGAUAAAUAUUUUCUUGUAACUUACCCAUAAGAAGCACUCAAUUUUUAAAAAUUUGAAUACUGUAGCACUUUUUUUUUUCUUUUUUUUUUUGGGUGACUCAGGGAACCCGUACACUGUACUAACACGGACAGUCCGAAAGGCCCAAGAUAACGGGAGGUAAACCCUGGGGGUAACACGUGCUAGGUAUCACACACGUGCCACCGGAUAAGUCACUCUGCGACGCCUGGAACUCCUCCUCUUGCGUUAGGGGGAGAAGCUCUCCGCCAGCAACGCCAUCCAGGUGGGUGGUCAAAUAAAAUCUUAUCUUGACAAGGAAUAUACUUUAUCAGCUUUGGAUAUGCUUUGACACGCUGGAAACUUUGUUUUAGUCAUUUAAACAAUCAUAUCAAGAAGGUUAGCGGUAACGAGAUGUAACGUGGGAGGAACCUGUACAUGUAAAGAUAAUCAAGGAGCGUGAACCCGUCGUGAAAUCGUGGACUUGCUAGUCAGUAGUUAUAAAUCUAAUCAUCCUUAGUUUGUAUCUAAGAAAAACACACAUUUAAAUGAGAUUUGACAUAUUAUUGUUACAAAAAUAAAUACUACGAAGAGGUGCUUUCCGAAAGUAAACGAUAAUACUGCCUCUUCCAAUCAAAUAGCAUGGAUAGAAAAAUUCAGUAAAUCCAAGGAUACCAGAUGAUUCAAAGCUAUAAACAAGCCUUUUGUAUAUAGGUGAAUGCAAACAUUUUUUAUGGUCUAUCUUACUCUUAAUGUAUAUGAUUUUCAGAUGUCCGUGGCAUGCAUCAUUAAUAUAAAUAUGUGAUUGUGGUUCAAAAAUAUAUUAUGUCAGUCUAUCAUGAGCUAAAUCAUUUCAAACAAAUAUAUAUAUUCUUUUCUUAAUUCUUGCUGAAGAGUUUUUAUUAUGAAGAACUACGAAAUGUGUUCAAUAUAUAGUUUCAAAUGAUCUCUUCAAAGUUCCACUAUAUAGAUAUUUGAUAAAUGGGUUAAUACCCUGAAAAACCCCAAAUUGGUAUCUGUGACAAUUUACCCUAAACUAUUUUUUUUUUACUACAAAAAACUUCAAACUGGUAUACAUUUGACAAAUUUACCUAAAACUGGUACACUUGUGACAAAUUUACUUUAUGUUAGUUUUCGUUAAAUUUUACUAUCAAAUUAUUAAGUUAAAUGACACAUGAUAGUUGACUGGUAUAUCAAUUUGAGAUUUUACGCUCCGUUUGUUACAGUUCACAAUUUUUGUGAUUUUUUUUUGUGGUAUUAAUCCAAUUUAGCGGAUGAUAUAUUUGUCAUAAAUUUACCAGUUUGUGGCUUUUUGCGGUUGAAUAAAUUAGUUUGUGGUAAAUUUAUCAUAAAUGUAUCAGUUUAGAGUUUUUUUUUAUGAUCAUUCAGGAUAAAUUUGUUACGGGUGUACUAGUUUGGGGUUUUUCAUAAUAUAAAAAUAGUUUGGGUUAAAUUUAUCACAUGUGUAUCAGUUUGGGGUUUUUUAGAGUAUUAACUCUUGAUAAAUUGAGACCACUCGCCGCGAUGGCUCUACUGGAUAAGUGCUCCAUUGAUCAUUCCCCAAAUGUGAGGGGUUCGAAACCUAGUUGAGGCAUUUGGUGUCUCACGUGGGAUGUUGGGGUGGUGAUUCAUCCGCUAGCAUCCCCCUGGGUUUACCUCGUCGGUUGUCAACUGUACGAGGGUUCUCGGGUUAUAAAAAAAAAAAAAAAUACUCUUGAUAAAUUGAGCUUGCUCGGUAACAUUUAUAAUCAAUUUUUUUUUCAAAAUUAAAAUGUCGCUCUUGCCGACAACAAGGUGGGAUUAAAAAAAAAUGUUGCUUUUCUUAGAUAAACAAUAAUAUUAAACAGACCACCGCCUAUGGUGGCCUAGCUAGAUAAAAGCUUCCAUGACGUCUAUCCAGGACGGAAGAGUUCAAAUCCCAUAGAACGCACAGGAUCUUAAGCGUGACGUCAAGGUAGUGGGUUUUCUGCUAGCGUCACCCUAAGUUUACUCACCAGUUGCCGGCUGUACAGGGUUUCUUGGGUAAAAAAAAAAAACAAUAAUAUUAAACUGUAAGCACCACGAGUGGAUUUUGUCGUUUUGCGCCACUUAGUUGAUGCGUAAAAUGAUGACGGCCCAUGUGCUAAACCUGCCCACGAACAGCAACGCAACCACUCUAGUCUCUUGCGUCUCUACCACCGCUUCCUCCUCCGCCCUAUCUCCGCUGUCGUAUUCGUUACUCUCGACCAACCAAAUGGACGGCUCCAUCCUCCUCUACCCUUCACCUGGAAGAGGCCACCUCGCCUCCAUGGUGGAGCUCGGGAAGCACAUCCUCGACCACCACCAUUCCUUCUCCGUCACCGUCCUCCUCCUCUCCACCCCACCUCCGGACACCCACCUCAUCGACGCUGUCUCCGCCACCCACCCGUCCAUGACCUUCCACCACCUCCCCGCCAUCUCCCUCCCCAACUCCGACCACCUCUCCUCGUCUCCCGCCAACUUCAUCCUCUCCACUUUCGAAAUCGUCCGCCUCCACAACCCAACGCUCCACGAGAACCUCGUCUCUCUCUCCAAGUCCUCCGCAGUCAAGGCCUUCGUCAUCGACUUCUUCUGCAACGCCGCCUUCGGCGUCUCCGCCUCCCUCAACAUCCCCACCUACUACUACUUCACCUCCGGCGCGAGCGGGUUGGCCUCGUUCCUCUACAUUCCUGCUCUCCAAGUGAAGUACCCCGAGAGCUUCAAAGACCUCAACGUGCCCAUUCAGAUCCCUGGCUUCCCUCCAGUCUCGCCCCGAGACAUGCCCAUGGCCAUCAGCAAUCGGAAACUCGAGGUCUAUAGCUAUUUCUUGGAGACGGCGGUUCAAAUGGCUAAAUCGACCGGUCUCAUCGUGAACACGUUCGACUCGUUCGAAGCCAGCACUCUCAAGGCUCUAAGGGAUGGCCUCUGCGUGCCGGACGGAGCCACUCCUCCGACAUACUGUGUCGGGCCACUGGUGGCUACCGGCGGGGGAACCAAAGAUGGCGACGAGAGGCAAGAGUGCUUGGUUUGGCUCGACUCGCAGCCGAGCCGGAGCGUACUGUUCCUGAGCUUUGGGAGCAUGGGUGUGUUCUCGACCAGGCAGCUGAAGGAAAUGGCGGUCGGGUUGGAGAGGACUGAAGUGCGGUUCUUGUGGGUGGUGCGGGUCCCGCCGCCUCACGACGAGGCUCGGCGCAUGUUAGCCGAGCUCGAGCCGCGCGUCCAUUCGUUCCUGCCCGAAGGGUUUGUGGACAGGACAAGAGGGAGGGGGAUGAUAGUGGAGUCGUGGGCCCCGCAGGUCGAGGUGCUGAGCCACGGCUCCGUGGGCGGGUUCGUGACGCACUGUGGGUGGAACUCCGUGCUUGAGGCGGUGUGUCAUGGCGUGCCCAUGCUGGCCUGGCCUCUCUACGCGGAGCAGAAGUUGAAUAGGGUCUACUUGGUGGAGGAGAUGAAGCUGGCUCUGUCCGUGACCGAGUCGGAGGAAGACGAUGGGCUCGUCUCGGCGGGUGAGCUGGAGGAGCGAGUGAAUGAACUGAUGCGAUCGGAGAAAGGGAGAGCGAUAAGGGAUCGAGUCCAGGCCAAGCAAGAAGCCGCGACCGCCGCGCUGAGCGAGGGCGGGUCGUCCCUAUCGGCCCUAGCCGAGUUGAUCCGGUCGAUUAAAGCCAGGUCGAGCGAGGUGGAUGUUCCCGACCUGGUCACGAGCUCCUUGGGGGUUGGCGGCGAUUUGGGCAGCGCCAGCACAGUUACGAUCUCCACCUAAACUGUUGUUUUUCUGUAAGUCUUGUUGUGAAGAAAUCUUUCCUAGUAAAGAAUCAAAAUUCGAGGAAAAUAAGUUUUUGUCCGCGGGGUUUGUCUCCCAUUCGUGGAGUAAAUAACAACACUAGAUAUUUUAAGAUGUAGGCUGCGUUCGUUUUACGGAAAAUAACUUCCAGGAAAAUGUUUUCCGGAUUUUCCGGUGUUCGUUUCACGGAAAAUCAACAACUCAAGGAAAAUAUUUUCCAUCAACAAUAAAAUUUACAUGCAAAUCUAAGGAAAAUGUUUUCCACUUCUGAAAAGUGGAAAACAUUUUCCAUAACUUCCUCUGCCUUUUUUUUUUCUUUCUUUCCUUUUCAUUUUUCUUCCUUAGCUUGGCCGGUGGCCGGCCCCGAUAGUGGCCGGCGACCGGCAACCGGUCGCGGUCGCAAGCUAGCUCGAGCUCCGCCCCGGGCUGGCGAGGCUUCGCCUAGCCCGAUCUGUGGAAGCCCAGCUCGCCCGAGCUCGGCGAGCUUGAGCCUCACCAGAUCGGGCGAGGCAGAGCCUCGCCGGCUUGGGGCGGAGCUUUGGCCUCACCAGAUCUGGCGAGCUGGGCGGGGCUCGGGCCUCACCCGAGCUCGCCAGAGGUCUAGUGAACCGCGAGCUCGCCGGAUCUGGCGACCGGACCUUGGUCAGCUCGCCAUCGUCAGGCGUGCGGUGGCGGAGGAAGGAGGAAGGAGGAAGGAGGAGGAAGAAGGAGGAGAGGCAGUGGAGGAAGGAGGAGGAAGAAGGAGGAGCGGCGGCGGAGGAAGGAGGAAGGAGGAGGAAGGAGGAAGGAGAAGGAAAAGAAAAGGAAAAAAUAAAAUAAAAAUAAAAAAAUAAAAAAAGAAAGAAAUUAGUUAACGAACGGUGGAAAAUGUUUUCCACUCAAAAUUUAAGUAUUAGCCGAACACUGGAAAAUAUAGCCAUUUUUCUGGAAAAUAACUUCUGGGAAAAUGUUUUCCGGAGAUGGUUCAUUUUCCGUGAAACGAACGCAGCCGUAGUGAUAGGUCUUCGAUCUUUUUAAAUUAAAUAGUAAAAAAAUUAUUACUAUUAUUAUAUACUUACAUUUUCUUUCAGAAUUUAGUUCCUCCUGGCUUUGAUGCUUAGGGUUAAUCCAUUGUAUUUGCACUCGAUUGGCUAGAUCCAGUCGAGAAUGGUAUUAUCAAGGGAAUGGUCUACAUGUAUGAAUUGGCGAGACGUGUCCUUGCUUCAUAAGCUAGGAAUAUUAUACGCCCUUUGUUGACACCCGAUUUUUUGUCGACAUUUUAAUCAUCAAUUUUGCAAAAAUAUAAAAAAAAUAAAGAGCCAAAAAAAUAUAAAUAAAAAGAAAACAGAAAAAAAAGAAAAGAAGAGAAAAGAAGAAAAAGAUGAAAUGAAAUGAAAAGAGAAAAAAAUUAGGAAUAAGGAAAACGAAAAAGAAAAAGGAGAGAAAAAUAAAAAAUAAAAUAAAAAAAUAAUAGAAAAGGAAGGAGGGGGGCAUUCGAAGGGGGGAGGCUCUCUGGCGCGGAUUCUCUCUCUGAGAGACGCUCUCUCGUUCCCGCUCUCUCUUCAUGACGAUCUCUCUCUCUCUCUCUCUAAAAAAACCGUUCGCGCGUGCGGAUGCUCGGGGACGGAUUCUCUUGCUGAGGGGAUUAUCGCUCUCUCGGACUCUCUCCGCAUCUCGGAGAGCGAGCUAGGGUUUGACGGCCGAAUCGAUUCAAGGUGGAAAUCGGUCUCUUUCUUUGGCUUGAGGAUCUCGACUUCCUCAUCUGCACCUUUUCGAGCUCCGAAGCCGAUCGGCGAUGGUGGUAGCGACGGCAGCGGCGGCGACAGCUUCCAAUCGUUUUUUUUUGUUCUACUUUGCCGGUAGUCUCGCGCGCAAGAGAGAUUCCGACGAUUCCUCUCUGGCUGGAUCUCGCGCUCAGGAUCUGUCUCUCGCUCUCUGGAUUUGUCUCUCGGUCGGUCUCUCUCUUGAUUGAAGACGGAACAAAUGAAGAUCGAAGGAGUUCUUCGUUGUUACUUGAUCAUCAAAAUCUCUAAAGAUGCUUCGGAGUAGUUGAUGUGCUGAUUUCCAGAAAAUCGCAGAAUAAAGAUUGAGCUGAGUCUUCUCAAUCUUUACUUGUACAUUUGUUGCGCAAAUAUUCUGAUUUCAGCAGAUUCCGUUGACAUUUAAUUUCACUGAUUUUGUUGAAGAAGAAGCUGAGAAAAACGUGUUUAGAUUGCAACUCAAAAGAAGCGUACACCAUCUUCAAAUCGGCAGCCGAGGCGUUCAUUCGAUGAGUUCGAGGAUCACAGAAUCAAAGGCCAGCGUUCUUCAUUUUCCAGGAGUUCCAAUAACAAAAUCGAAGCUAAGUGUUUGGUUUCCUCUUUUCUAUUUCGGUAAGGAGUGUUAUUAGAUUCAGAUCCUCCACUGAUUUCAGUACAUGUUUUUUUGUUAAAUAGCAACUUCAUUGUCACUGAAUGGUGGACAUCUCAGAAGGUCAGUUCUUGGCCGAUUCAUUACGGACCGAGGUGGGUGCGAUGAAACUCCAUUUAAUAUCAUCCGAUGAGGCGAGAGCUUCUCGUGUCGUGAUUCAUGAUCGACAACGAAAGUUCGGGGCCAGGAUGCAUUGCAAAUCUAGUUAAAAUCAAUGCUUAUAUGAUCUGGAACAGAUUAUAGUUAGAUGCUGUGAUUUUUGAAUAUGGAUGAGCAUGUUCCUGUUAGUUCUAUUUUGAACUCUUAAAUGUCGUUGUCUUGUGAAGUGACGAGCUAGAAGUUUGACGUGCACAUCUUAAGCUUUGAUUUGGUGUAUUAAAGCCCCCAAAUGAAAUUUGUUUGUCAGCUCGAAUCCAUCUAAAAAAUAUACACACUGUUCUGAAAUUCUAACUUGAAGUACUGCUGCUGUGAUUGUUGGACACGCUUGCUAUUUGCUGAGUUUCUAUUGAAUUUUGUUCUUGGAUUCUGUGGGCUAGCUGCUGUGGUUUUUUGUGUUCAAUGUCUUCACGAGAGUUGAAGACGACUCAAAGACCUUUCCAACGACCCAUAGAACGUUCUGAUCCGAUGUCUUUUACUACCUGAAAAUAGCUCGGCAUUUAGCGCCAGUUUUCUGGAAAAUUUUGGUGUUCUGACUUGCUCUCUGUUCUGAAUGACCUUCUGUGCAAAUGACUUGAUAUGAGCUGGUUGUUGUGGUUUUCUGUGUUCGAAGUCUUCAUGGAGGUCGAAGAUGGUUCGAUUAUCUUUCCAACGAGCUAUAGAAUGCCCUAAUUGGACUUCAUUUAAUAUGGUUUUUGCCUGUCCAAAGUUAGGUCCAGAAUCUGCCAAAUAUUUGUUUCUCUGUUUCAGAUGACCUUCUGUGUAAACCGCUUGAUAUGAAUUGGUAGAUGAUGUUAUUAGGACUUAAUGUCUUCUAGAGAUUUGUAAUAGACUUCACAAGCUUUCUAUAGACAUAUUAUAUGUGCAAUUUGGCCAUCAUUUUCCCUGCCUGAUGCUUCUUGCAAAGAGCACUAAUCUGCUGAUGUGUUCUGCUUGUUAUGAUCUGAUUUGACCACUUAUACAAAUGGCUUUGCUUGAGCUAGAAAAAGAGCUAAAUUGCAAUUGUCACCUAAUAGGAAUUCGUAAAAGACACCUUGAGCUUUCUAACGAUGCCUAGUUUGUCCAAUUUGCCCAUCAUUUGCCCUGGUUUUCUUUUUUUUUUUUAGAUCAAGUUUUGAAGUCUGAAUUUGUCUUGACCUGCAGUGCUGUCUUGUCUCUAUGAAUUUGACUGUCUACCAAUUUUGUGUGAUCUUAUACAUAAUGAUCUUGAGGAUAAAUUCUUAAUGAAAGCUGUCCAUAAUAUCCAUAUCCAUCCCAUGCUAAAAUUUGAGAAUUUUGAAGGUGAAGUAACCUUAGAAUUCAAGUUGACAUGUAGCAAUUUAAAUUGUUAUGCAUUUUGCUCCUAAUGACGAGUCACAUAUCAAUGUUAAUGGAUUUGUGUGGCCUUUUGCACAUGGAUUUAGGGUUAAAUGUCUAAAUCAAACUUUUUCUUCACAUUUAACCCUACGUCAUGUUCAAAUUUCAUGAUUUUCAUGCAUUGAUUAGGUGACUUAACAAAUCAGUUGUCAUGCAUCAUUCUUUGAUUUGCUUAUGAUUGAUUUGCAUGUUUUAGCGAUUGUUGCUUUUCGGCCAUGAAUUUGACUUUACUUGAACUUGAUAUGCCUCAGGAAAUUCCAUUCAUGAAAGUUGCUCUUUAUAAAGUGCUUGAUUUCUGUGCUUUUUUCUUAGAGCCAAUCAUACAUGGGUUCUACCCCAAUUGCUUUGAUUUUAUUUGUGAUGUUUGUUUCCUUGCACUGCAUAUACCUAGUUAUGGGUUUCUUAGAUUAGGUUUAGAUUAGGAUCCCGAAGAUGAAGGAGGCGUGAAGAUGGUGGAGGUCGAUGUCCACUCCGACUGUUGCCAUGUAAUAUUCUUUUUCCCGACAUAUGUCUUGGGUUCCAUGCAUUGUAUAAAACCCGACGAGUUGCGGGUUUCUUUCUUUUCUUUUUAGUUGUUUUUCUUUUAUAUUUUUAGGACUGCCCGAUAGAUUUACGGCUUUUCCUUGAUUGCUUACUUAAUGUCUUGCAAUUUUAAUAGAAUAGCAUGUAAAUAAUCCACCACGCAUGAUCAUUUAGUAUAUAAUUGAUGAUCCUGAAAAUAAAAAAAGAAAUGCAUGGACAUGUUAGGAAAAACACAACAUGCUGUUUAGGUACCGAAAGGGCGCUGAUAGCAAUAUUAGCGUAACCUAAGUCCCCGAACCUAGAUAUCUGGUUACGUAGGAAUCGAGGGAACACUCCCGACCCUCGAUUGGGUUUCUAGCCGACCCCCAAAAUGAGGCUAGUGGCGACUCCUGUCUAUAUUCUUAGGUUGUUAAACAAUUAGACCGCAUAAAUAAAUCCACUGUCACGCGGGGUACGAGCUUGGGAGAGCUCACGAUUUUGAGAUUAAGUAUCCCUAAACCCGACCUUUCCCAUCCUUGGAUACAUUUCGAGGGGCGGCGAGAUCGGGUCGCGACACCCUUUAAGAUGGAGAAAAUUAUUUUGUGUGGUUAGAUACAGUAAAUAACAUUUUUU